GACGAACGCUGGCGGCGCGCCUAACACAUGCAAGUCGAACGGAGAUAAGGAGGAGCUUGCUCCACCUUAUCUGAGUGGCGGACGGGUGAGUAACGCGUGAGUAACCUGCCUUAAAGAGGGGGAUAACGUCUGGAAACGGACGCUAAUACCGCAUGACAUACGGACAUGGCAUCAUGAUCGUAUCAAAGGAGCAAUCCGCUUUAAGAUGGACUCGCGUCCAAUUAGCUAGUUGGUGAGGUAACGGCUCACCAAGGCGACGAUCAGUAGCCGGUCUGAGAGGAUGAACGGCCACAUUGGGACUGAGACACGGCCCAG
rnacentral:rRNA from 1 species